rnacentral:rRNA from 1 species
AGAGUUUGAUCCUGGCUCAGGACGAACGCUGGCGGCGUGCCUAACACAUGCAAGUCGAACGAUUCAGCACUCAAGGUUUACCUUGAAUGCUGGAUAGUGGCGGACGGGUGAGUAACGCGUGAGCAACCUGCCUUUUUGAGGGGGAUAACACCGGGAAACCGGUGCUAAUACCGCAUAAAAUAUCGAGGUCGCAUGGCUUUGAUAUCAAAGGAGUAAUCCGCAAAAAGAUGGGCUCGCGUCCGAUUAGCUAGUUGGUGGGGUAAAGGCCUACCAAGGCGACGAUCGGUAGCCGGACUGAGAGGUUGAACGGCCACAUUGGGACUGAGACACGGCCCAGACUCCUACGGGAGGCAGCAGUGGGGGAUAUUGCACAAUGGGGGAAACCCUGAUGCAGCAACGCCGCGUGAGGGAAGAAGGUUUUCGGAUUGUAAACCUCUGUCCUAGGUGAAGAAAGAAAUGACGGUAGCCUGGGAGGAAGCUCCGGCUAACUACGUGCCAGCAGCCGCGGUAAUACGUAGGGAGCGAGCGUUGUCCGGAAUUACUGGGUGUAAAGGGUGCGUAGGCGGCCUUGUGGGUCAGGCGUGAAAUACAUGGGCUUAACUCAUGGACUGCGCUUGAAACUAUAAGGCUUGAGUGAAGUAGAGGCAGGCGGAAUUCCCGGUGUAGCGGUGAAAUGCGUAGAGAUCGGGAGGAACACCAGUGGCGAAGGCGGCCUGCUGGGCUUUAACUGACGCUGAGGCACGAAAGCAUGGGUAGCAAACAGGAUUAGAUACCCUGGUAGUCCAUGCCGUAAACGAUGAUUACUAGGUGUGGGUGGUCUGACCCCAUCCGUGCCGGAGUUAACACAAUAAGUAAUCCACCUGGGAAGUACGACCGCAAGGUUGAAACUCAAAGGAAUUGACGGGGGCCCGCACAAGCAGUGGAGUAUGUGGUUUAAUUCGAAGCUACGCGAAGAACCUUACCAGGUCUUGACAUCCGACUAACGAAGUAGAGAUACAUUAGGUGCCCUUCGGGGAGAGUCGAGACAGGUGGUGCAUGGUUGUCGUCAGCUCGUGUCGUGAGAUGUUGGGUUAAGUCCCGCAACGAGCGCAACCCUUACUGUUAGUUGCUACGGAAGAGCACUCUAGCAGGACUGCCGUUGACAAAACGGAGGAAGGUGGGGACGACGUCAAAUCAUCAUGCCCCUUAUGACCUGGGCUACACACGUACUACAAUGGCCGUAAACAAAGGGAAGCAAAGCCGCGAGGUGGAGCCAACCCCCAAAAACGGUCCCAGUUCAGAUUGCAGGCUGCAACUCGCCUGCAUGAAGUCGGAAUUGCUAGUAAUCGCAGAUCAGCAUGCUGCGGUGAAUACGUUCCCGGGCCUUGUACACACCGCCCGUCACACCAUGGGAGCCGGUAAUACCCGAAGUCAGUUGCUUAACCUCCGGGGGAGCGCUGCCGAAGGUAGGAUUGGCGACUGGGGUGAAGUCGUAACAAGGUAGCCGUAUCGGAAGGUGCGGCUGGAUCACCUCCUU